GAAGGCGGACGUAGACGUAGAGAUUGAUCCUGGCUCAGGAAGUCUUAACACGGGAGCCGUACCCGUGGAGAUUGUUCCUGCCUCGGGAAACCUGCCAGAAAAACCGGAACCCUCCGGUAAUCGGGGCUAAUACCGGAUGGUUGUUUGAACCGCAUGGUUCAAACAUAAAAGGUGGUUUCGGCUACCACUUACAGAUGGACCCGCGGCGCAUUAGCUAGUUGGUGAGGUAACGGCUCACCAAGGCGACGAUGCGUAGCCGACCUGAGAGGGUGAUCGGCCACACUGGGACUGAAACACGGCCCAAACUCCUACGGGAGGCAGCAGUAGGGAAUCUUCCGCAAUGGACGAAAGUCUGACGGAGCAACGCCGCGUGAGUGAUGAAGGUUUUCGGAUCGUAAAGCUCUGUUGUUAGGGAAGAACAAGUGCCGUUCAAAUAGGGCGGCACCUUGACGGUACCUAACCAAAAAGCCACGGUUAACUACGUGCCAGCAGCCGCGGUAAUACGUAGGUGGCAAGCGUUGUCCGGAAUUAUUGGGCGUAAAGGGCUCGCAGGCGGUUUCUUAAGUCUGAUGUGAAAGCCCCCGGCUCAACCGGGGAGGGUCAUUGGAAACUGGGGAACUUGAGUGCAGAAGAGGAGAGUGGAAUUCCACGUGUAGCGGUGAAAUGCGUAGAGAUGUGGAGGAACACCAGUGGCGAAGGCGACUCUCUGGUCUGUAACUGACGCUGAGGAGCGAAAGCGUGGGGAGCGAACAGGAUUAGAUACCCUGGUAGUCCACGCCGUAAACGAUGAGUGCUAAGUGUUAGGGGGUUUCCGCCCCUUAGUGCUGCAGCUAACGCAUUAAGCACUCCGCCUGGGGAGUACGGUCGCAAGACUGAAACUCAAGGAAUUGACGGGGGCCCGCACAAGCGGUGAGCAUGUGUUUAAUCGAAGCAACGCGAAGACCUUACCAGGUCUUGACAUCCUCUGACAUCUAGAGAUAGGACGUCCCUUCGGGGGCAGAGUGACAGUGUGCAUGCUGUCGUCAGCUCGUGUCGUGAAAUGUGGGUAGUCCGCACGAGCGCAACCCUUGA
rnacentral:rRNA from 1 species